rnacentral:rRNA from 1 species
UGUCAUUUAGGGGAAGGUAAAGGUCGGUAACAAGCUUUCCGUAGGUGGACCUGCGGAGGAUCAUUA